CCUACGGGAGGCAGCAGUGAGGAAUAUUGGUCAAUGGACGAAAGUCUGAACCAGCCAAGUAGCGUGCAGGAUGACGGCCCUCCGGGUUGUAAACUGCUUUUAGCUGGGAAUAAAAGGGGGCUCGUGAGCCCCGUAUUGUAUGUACCAUCAGAAAAAGGACCGGCUAAUUCCGGGCCAGCAGCCGCGGUAAUACGGAAGGUCCGGGCGUUAUCCGGAUUGUUUGGGUUUAAAGGGGGCGUAGGCCGGCUUUUAAGGCAGCUGGUAAAGUCCGCGGCUCAACCGUGGAAUUGCAGUUGAAACUGGAGGCCUUGAGUGCACACAGGGAUGCCGGAAUUCAUGGUGUAGCGGUGAAAUGCUUAGAUAUCAUGAAGAACUCCGAUCGCGAAGGCAAGUGUCCGGGGUGCAACUGACGCUGAGGCUCGAAAGUGCGGGUAUCAAACAGGAUUAGAUACCCCGGUAGUC
rnacentral:rRNA from 1 species